rnacentral:rRNA from 1 species
ACGAACGCUGGCGGCGUGCUUAACACAUGCAAGUCGAACGGUGAAGCGCUUGCCUUUUUGGUGGGUGUGGAUGAGUGGCGAACGGGUGAGUAACACGUGAGUAACCUGCCCUCUUCUUCUGGAUAACCUCAUGAAAGUGGGGCUAAUACGGGGUAUUCCGGGUCUGUCGCAUGGCGGGUUUGGGAAAGAUUGCGCCUUUGGGUGUUUUCGGUGGGGGAUGGGCUCGCGGCCUAUCAGCUUGUUGGUGGGGUGAUGGCCUACCAAGGCGGUGACGGGUAGCCGGCCUGAGAGGGUGGACGGCCACACUGGGACUGAGACACGGCCCAGACUCCUGCGGGAGGCAGCAGUGGGGAAUAUUGCACAAUGGGCGCAAGCCUGAUGCAGCGACGCCGCGUGAGGGAUGGAGGCCUUCGGGUUGUGAACCUCUUUCGCCAGUGAAGCAGGCCUGCUCCUGUGUGGGUGGGUUGACGGUAGCUGGAUAAGAAGCGCCGGCUAACUACGUG